rnacentral:rRNA from 1 species
GAGUUUGAUCAUGGCUCACGAUGAACGCUGGCGGUGCGCCUGACACGUGCAAGUCGGACGGAAGCGAAGGGCUUCAGUGGCGAACGGGUGCGUAACACGCGAGAACUUACCCUGAGGUGGGAGAUAACCUUCGGAAACGAAGGCUAAUACCCCAUAGGUCAACGCAGAGAAACUGCAACCCCGACGAAAGCAGAAGAUCGUUAAGAUCUUGGUUGCGCCUCGGGAAAGGCUCGUGGCUGAUUAGCCAGCUGGUGGGGUAAUGGCCUACCAGGGCGACGAUCAGUAGCUGGCUUGAGAGAGGGGUCAGCCACACUGGGACUGAGAUACCGCCCAUACUCCUACGGGAGGCAGCAGUGGGGAAUAUUCCGCAAUGGGCGCGAAGCUUGACGGAGCGACACCGCGUGGGGGAAGAAGGACUGUGGUUCGUAAAAUCCUUUUCCCGGGGACAACAAAAGACGGUACCUGGGGAAUAAGCAUCGGCUAACUCCGUGCCAGCAGCCGCGGUAACACGGGGGAUGCGAGCGUUAUCCGGAAUUAUUGGGCGUAAAGCGCCUGCAGGUGGCCCCCCAAGUCUUAUGUCAAAGGCCGGGGCUUAACCUCUUAAAGGCGUGAGAAACUGUUGGGCUAGAGGGAGGCUGGGGUAGAGGGGAACUCCUACUGUAGCGGUAAAAUGCGCACAUAUUAAGAAGAACACCGGCGGCGAAGGCGCUCUACUGGGCCAUCUCUGACACUCAGAGGCGAAAGCUGAUGGAGCGAGAGGGAUUAGGUACCCCUGUAGUCUCAGCCGUAAACGAUGGACAUUGGAUCUUUGUCUCCUAACCCGGGGCUACUCUGCCACGUUUGCUGCCAGGGGGCAUUCAAAACGGUGCACUUGUGGAGCCGGGAAUGGCUGAUGAGUUCGAAGCUAACGCGUUAAAUGUCCCGACCUGGGGGAGUACGCUCGCAAGGGUGAAACUCAAAGGAAUUGUCGGCGGCCCGCACAAGCGGUGGAGCAUGUGGUUUAAUUCGAUUCGACGCGAAGAACCUUACCAGGGCUUGACAUAUGGCAAUCGAGGAUGUCAAUGUGGUUCCUUUGAGAAGACGUCCAUACAGGUGGUGCAUGGCUGUCGUCAGCUCGUGUCGUGAGAUGUUGGGUUGAGUCCCGCAACGAGCGCAACCCUCGACUUUAGUUGCUUCGGUGGUAGAGCGUCCCGACGAGCACAUGAUUGCUCGCCGCCCAAACAGGGACCGAUAAAUAAGGUGAUUGCCAACGACAAGUUGGAGGAAGGUGAGGAUGACGUCAAGUCAUCAUUCCCCCAAUGCCCUUGGCCACACACUUGGUACAAUGGCCGAGACAAAAGGAGGCAGCCGAGAGGCCAGCUAGAUCCACAAACCCGGCCCCAGUUCGGAUCGUGGGCUGCAACUCGCCCACUUGAAGUAGGAAUCAUUAGUAAUCGCUGGUCAGCUACACAGCGGUGAAUGCGUUCUCGGGCCUUGUACACACCGCCCGUCACACAAGGAAGUUGGUCGCACCCGAAGGCGGGGUCCCGAAAUGUCUUCUUGAUUCGGAGAAUGAGUCGGGGUGCCUCGACGAAGGCGAGAAGAGCAACCAGGGUGAAGUCGUAACAAGGUAACC